GGGAAAGCCAGUGAUGUGCUGUUGGUAGCUUGAAACUGGCCUUGGUGGGUGUAUUUACACCACAGAAAUCUGCAGAUGCCACAAAUUGGGGCUUUUCCUCCCCACCUUGAGUAGGUUGUUAAAUAUUUACCAGCAGACCACCAUCACACCUUCCCUAGUCUCAGCUCACCACAAGAAACAGAAUUUAAUUUUAUCCAUUUCUUAUCAGUGUAGACAAUUAAUUUAUGCCGCUUUUUGCAUAAUUGUUCCCAAAGGACAGGAGAAGAAGAUUAUUUCGCCAUACUUUUAUUAGCUGCAUGAAGCACAAUUGCAGGAUUCAAGUUAAGUGAUUUAUUACAUGUGAAGACUCACAUCCUCCUCUUCCUUGUGCCAGAACAUUCCAAGACUGAAGGAAACAGGCAACAGAAUGAGCUGGGAUAAGCACUGUUGAGCCACGUGAAGACUUAGGCCCUCUCCAGACGUAUGGAAUUAAAGAAAAGGAUUAGCUGUGAUGUGAUUAUUUUAAGAGGGAAAAGCUGGCGCACUUUGAUCUCGCUUCUCAGUGAACUUGUGGCAGAGAAAUGGAAGUCGGGGACCGGCUGUCCCUGGGCUCAUGUGAACACCCCCACUUAUGCUGCUUAAAAGCCACAGAACUGGGAACUCACCCCCAAAGGUUCACCUUCCUGCUGCCUUUGGCUGAUAAACACUACGAUGCAGGUACUGAAAAGCAUGGUAAAUAAAUCUAUCACUUAAAAAAAUUAAUUAACCUCUCAAUUCGUCCAGUAGUAUGGCUGGUACACCACAAUCUA
rnacentral:lncRNA from 1 species